rnacentral:lncRNA from 1 species
UUGAACUUACCAGAAAGGCUAGUGGUUCUGAUGGAAUGAAUAAAUCAUUAUUGCUUCAAAUUGGGAUUACAGUCUUGGAACAAGAUCUGAGGGCACAUAAUGCAUAUAAGUCUUGAGUUUUAGUAACAAUCUAACAAUUAGAAGUUUUACUAGCUCCUCCAAUCAAUCCUGUAACGGUCCAUGCCUAAUUAGCUGUUGGGAGUACGAACAAACUUGGUCCAGAUGGCGCCCUAGCUAC